UGUUGGGCAUCCUUUGUGUUGUCUCUGCAAUGAACCUGCAGUCAUUCGGUGCAGAGAUUGUCUUCCUGAGGAGUGGUUCUGUGGUGACUGUGAUAUACUGCAUCACAAAAAGCAGCCACUCCACAACCGGGAGUGCAUUAUUGAUGGUUUUUUUAAAGCCAUUCCUCCAAGUACGUGCAUCAUGAACCAGGGCGAUGGAUACUGCACCCACGAGCAAGCAUGUCUUUUGCCAGUUGGGAAGGCAUCGUGCUCUUCUUGCAAAGGCACAAAUAUUGUCACAUCACCAGGGAAACCAGCGAUUUUAAUUACCAUCAAUGGACGUUAUGACUUGCAUCAACCACUGCACUUCUGUGAAACAUGCCAGAGGCAGUGGGCUCCGGAACUGAAGGACCUCAUUAGGAGCGGUUAUUGGCCGGCCUCUCUUAGUGUGUAUACCUUGUACACUCUAGACCUUCUGAGCUCCUUUCAGGAAUUGAAGGUCAUUUCUCCUGGUUUUGCCAGACAGGUCUUUGCAAAAUUGCUGGAGCAUCGCACAAAGUGUGGAGGGAGAGUAAGU